AUUGAACGCUGGCGGCAGGCCUAACACAUGCAAGUCGAACGAGUGGCGGACGGGUGAGUAAUGUCUGGGAAAGUGCCUGAUGGAGGGGGAUAACUACUGGAAACGGUAGCUAAUACCGCAUACCAUCGGAUGUGCCCAGAUGGGAUUAGCUAGUGGGUGGGGUAAAGGCUCACCUAGGCGACGAUCCCUAGCUGGUCUGAGAGGAUGACAAGCCACACUGGAACUGAGACACGGUCCAGACUCCUACGGGAGGCAGCAGUGGGGAAUAUUCGACAAUGGGCGCAAGCCUGAUGCAGCAAUGCCGCGUGUGUGAAGAAGGUCUUCGGGUUGUAAAGCACUUUCAGCGAGGAGGCGUUACUCGCAGAAGAAGCACCGGCUAACUCCGUGCCAGCAGCCGCGGUAAUAC
rnacentral:rRNA from 1 species